ensembl:lncRNA
CCCGUCCAGAGGGCUGCCGGGGAGACCAGUCACGGAUGCAGUCUAGGCAAGAAGGCACAUGCGACAGCCACUCGAGUCUGUCCCCACUGGCGUGGGAGCUCUCCGAGACCAGGACCUUGGCUUAUUAUUUAUCUUUGUGUCCCUAACAUCUGGCACAGAGAAAGUAUUCGAUAAACGUGUAUUGAAAGGAGGGAGGGAGAAGGAAGAAAGGUAGUUUGGCGGAGGCUUAUGUUUGCGCAGAAGUGGGCGGGUCAAGAUGAAGUCCUGUGAAGUGGAGCCGAGCACGGUAUCGCUCCACGUCAGAAACCUGAUGCAGAGGCGACCGAAGACACCGUGGGUCUCAUGCUGCCCCCUGAGGAGGAGACACCUGGAUUCUGACUCCAGAGGCCUGGAACUCUUUGACUCCCUGUAGGGCGGCGCAGGGGUCCAGAACACAGUGUGCUGUCUGGCACACAGUAGGCACUCAGUGAUGUUGGAUAAAGAAAGAAGGAAUGCCUAAUAGAUACCCUGCCUGGCGCACAAUGGCUGCUUCAGGAAUGUUUUGUUCAGUGACUAUAUGGGUGUCAUAUCUUAACCAAGAGUCAGAGCCGCUGAAAUAUCGCUUUCAGUGCUGAGACCUCGUGCUGCCUCCACGGCUUGCAGUAAGUUGUAAAGACUAUUGUGUGAGCCACCAGACUGUGUGCACCCAGAGGGGUGUCAUUCUGUUCAUUCCGGGUUGGGGAGAGUCCUUGUUUCCCCUCCUGUUAAACAGAAAGCCCAGCGCUCUUUGGAGAUGUGGGCUGAGCGUAGGCCCUUCCUCAGACUUGGUCCUGUAGUGAAUCCUGAUGCUUGUCUGGUCUGAAGUAUGCACCAGGAAUGGUGUUGGGUGCUUUACACAUGUUGUGAGAUUUGAUACUUAGAAUUCAUUGAAGUUUUACAGUCUUCAUUUUUUAGAGGUGGAAACUUAAGAUCAGAAAGGCUAAUGACUUUCCCACGGUCACUUGGCUGGUAAAGGGUGGAGAGAAGGGGCAUCCUGUACGCUUGACAUCCUCCUCUCUGGACCAGUGGCUCUCAGCCCAGGCUGCCCAUUAGAACCAGCCAGGGGGCUUUAAUCGCUGCCCAGGCAUCAGUAUCCUUCCAAGCUUUCCAGGUGUUUGUGAUGGGCACCCAGGGUUGAGAAGCCUCACUCCCCAGCCUCCCCUGGGGCAUCGCCCCUACUCCUGAGGCUUCAGCCUCCACCACAGUUUUGUUAACUUCCAGAUUCCUGCUGGACCACUCCACUUGGGACAUUCCGAUCAGCACUCUACCCGCUCUCCCCAAAUUUGCACCUCCUCUCAUAGACUCAUUUUAGAACCUCUCCACCCAAGGAACAUAGAAAUCCCGAGUCUUCUCUGACUCUUGCUCUGCUCUAUCUCUCACAGUCACUAAGUGCCUUUGAUCCCAUCUUGAGACCUCUCCAGUCUGUCCCCCGUCAAUAUCCCCACAGCCACCACCACUGCCACCCCAUAACUUCUCUCAUGGGUUUCAGCAAUAGCCUUCUACCUUUUGCCUGCCACCAGCAAGCUCCUCUAGUCCGUUCUGUAUAAUGUGGCUAGGUUGGUCUUUCUUUCUUUCUUUUUUUUUUUCUCUCCAAAGCCCCAGUACAUAGUUGUAUAUCCUAGUUGUAAGUCCUUCUAGUUCUGUGUGGGAUGCCACCACAGCAUGGCUUGAUGAGCCAUGCAUAGGUCCACGUCCAGGAUCCAAACCUGCGAACCCCAGCAGCCGAAGUGGAGCAUGUGAACUUAACCACUCAGCCAUGGGGCUGGCCUCUAGGAUGAUCUUUCUAAAAUGCUAAAAAGCCUUCAGUUGCUCCCCAUUGGCUUUAAGAAAUGUGUCCCAACUCCUCAAUAUGUCAUAUCUUGCUCUGAGAUACCAGUCUUCUCCUGCUACAUCAUCUUAGGCAGCUUACGGUCCUGAAUUAAGGUAAUUGUGGCUUUUCCUCAGAGCACAAAGCACCCUCAGGCCUACCUGCCUCUGCACAGGCAGCUGCUUGUGCUUACCAUCCCCCUCCUUUCCUGGUAGAUCCCGGUGCUCCUUCCCCACCCUGUUCAGAGGGACCCUUUUCCAGGAGCCUCCUUAGAUUGCCUCUGCCCACCAGGCUGGUGUAGGCACCUUUCUCUGUGCCACAGUUUAUAGGACUUGCAUUAUGUUGUGUUUUCCUGUUCGAUGGUCUGUCUAGAUUAAGAUUAGGCCUUAUCUUACUCAUGUUUGAACCCCAGCCCCAAGCACAUUGACUAGCACGGCAUAGUCGCUCAGCACGUGUCUGCCAAAUGAAGAUGAGGCAAAGCUUGGACCCUGCCACCAGGCUGCGAGAACAUAACACCAGAGAGUUUGGUAUGGGCACUGUGUAGGAUGGCUUGGGAAAAGGAGAAGAAAAGGCAGAGAACUGUCAGAAGAGGUCUAGUAUUCUGGGUAAGAAGUUGUGAGCCUGGAAUAAGAGCUUUGGAUGUAGAAACAAGGAGGAAGAAGUGAUCCUAAGAGAAGCAAGAAAGCAAAGGUCAAACUCAUGAUUACAUAUGAUUUUUUGGUAAAAGUAGGGACAUUUUUAGAAAAGACCCUGCAUGCGUUCAAAUAUCCAAAAAACAACUACAUACAACAUGAUGUCAGGGGAAUAUCUGGUUAUGGAUUCUAAAAAUAAAUUCUCUUUUUAGUUAGGAGUUGAAUUUCUAUAUCUGAAACUUCAGUGAUACUGCUGUAAAAGGUGUUUAUCAUAUUUGUGGCAAAUAUGGCCUCCUAUAUUUUGGAGAAGUCUCCAGAUUAUGAAUUUUCCUCCUGAAGGCAGAAGGCAGAAUUCGGUGUUCCAGUUUUCCUUGAAGCCAGGGCACAGGAACUGAUCUAGGUCCUGUCCAUCAGACUUCUAUUUAAAAAGAGGCAAUAUAAGAAAAGUGAGCUGUGUGGAAUCUCUUUCUGGAAGGGGCGGUGGGUGGUGGAGAGACACAUGACUUUCAGAACAGCAGUGGCAGAGGUCCACUGCUGUUCUCCAUUGCUCAGUGUCAGGGGUGUGAGCUGCAGGGUCAGCGCCCAGAUGUGACAGGGUCCUGUCCCAGAGAAGGACUGUGGGGUGAAUGGGUGCUGUCCCUGGCUGCACAGCCCCCUAGACUAAUUCUCUGCCUUUCCUGGGAAUAUCACGAGUUACCUAAUAUCCUUUGAUUUUCUGUUUAAACUCACUAGAGUGGGUUCUGUUGCUUGCAACUAAAAACCCUGACUGAUAAGAUUGCUAUUGCAUGAUAAGGCCUAAGGUGUUUAGAAGAAUGGGGUGACCAAAACUGAAAACAUUAGGACAGGUUAUAACAAAUAAAUACAAAUAAAAAGAAAGUGGAGGGGCUGGCCCCAUGGCUGAGUGGUUAACUUUGUGUGUGCGCUUCGCUUCAGUGGCCCAGGCUUUUGCAGGUUCGGAUCCUGGGCGCGGACAUGGCACCACUCAUCAGGCCACUCUGAGGUGGCAUGCCACAUAGCAGAGCCAGAAGGACCUACAACUAGAAUAUACAACUAUGUACUGGGGGGCUUCGGAGAGAGGGAAAGGAAGAAGAAGAAAAAAAAGAUUGGCACUCGAUGUUAGCUCAGGUGCCAAUCUUUAAAAAAAAAAGAAAGUGCAGCUCUCAAUCUUAACAUAAGAUGGAAUUCACACAAAAAGACCAUUAUGUAAGGGCACUUUAUAAUGCUAACAGGUGUAAUUACAAGAAGAUGUAAUAGUAAUGAGGAUAUGUGUACAGCAGCUCCAUUCAUAAAGUAGGAAUCAUGAGCAAUAUACAGAGACGUCUACAUUACUACUUCUAAUCUAUGACACUAAAGUAAAUCUAAGUGAUGGAUAUUGAACUCUGUAUCCUCGGAAUAGAGAAUGCACCUUCUUAUCAACUGCCCAUGUAACACUUGUGAAUUACAGAAGUUCCAAAGGGAUAAAUAGUGCAGAAAAUACUCAGUACUCAUCAUGCAAUAAAAUCAGACAUUAAUAAUAAAGCCAGAAACAAAAUGUCCCUUCCACUAGGAAAUUAAAAAUCUCUCUGUUUACAUUUUGAAAUAUUUACAGAGAAAAUGAUAAGAUGUCUGGGAUUUGGGGUAAGAUAAACCAAGAUUGGUCACGUAUUGAUAAUUGUUGAAGCUAGGUGAUGGGUACAUGGGAAUUUCUUAUACUAUUCUCUGUACUUUUGUGUACGGUUAGAAUUUUGUAUUAAAAAAUUUUUAAACCACUUUAUUAAAUACUUUUUGUAUAAAGAUGAUAAAGAAAUCAAAAUUGUAACAUUUCUAGAGAACAGCAAUAAUGAUAUCUUUUGAAUACAGAUAAAGUAGAUCUCAUGAGAAAAUUUAUAGUCUUAAAUCAGUCCAACUAAAAUCAAUCCAAAAAGAAAGAAAGAAAGAAGUGAAUUAAAUAUCCAACUCUAAAAAUUAAAAAAUGAAGAGCAACAAAAUAAGCCAAAGAAAUGCAUAAGGAAGAAAUGAAACACAGAUAAAAAGCAGAAAUUAAUGAAUUAGAAAAUGGAAAAAGGUGGUGCCAAAUCCAAAAGCUGAUUCUUUAGUAAAAAGUAAAUAAAAUAGAUAAAUAGAAAAAAUAUAGUCAAUCUGCGAAUAAUCAAAAUAAUCUAAUCUUUGGAAUUAAAGAAUAAUCAUUAGAAUAAAAUGAUUAGAACCAAUUGGGUCACAGGCUUUUUAAAAAUAAUGCUGUGCACAGCCUUUUAACCCAAAAAAAGUUUGCAAUGAUUGACCAGUUGGACCAUAAAUUUAACUAUUUAAGUGCUACUAGCAAAGGCAGAUCUGACGCAGAACACUCAUGCAGAAGGAAGAGUAUUUGCGGGGAAUUUUGAGAAGAUGAAAUGGAGCAGUUGCAUCAUAACUGAUUUUCACAGUUAAUUUCUGCCUAAAAUUGAGAUGUGCCCAUGGACAGAGUGUUUUUCUCCAUGAUGACUAUUUUGCCUGACUGACCUCUCUCAAUGCUCACUCCCCAUUUUACAGGCACUCUCUGCAGCCCAGAACCAGAUGCAAGCAGCGCCUGGAGCAUCCUUCACCCCCGUCCCCUCAACAACCCCCCUCCGCACCGCCCCNNNNNNNNNNNNNNNNNNNNCGGGCCUGCAUCCAUCUUAGCACCCAAAUAUGUUCUUCAUAAAGUUCUCGUUAGAAACGUGAGACCUGUUAAUUUUGACCUCUCAUCCCCUUCAUUUUCAACCACCUCCACCCCUUUGUUCUCCCUUCUCCCCUCUGCUCUGUGCUUCCUCAGAUGAAGUCACGAGGGCCCUGUUGAUUUUCCCAUCAACAUUCUCCUUUCUGCCCUGUCGCAUCAUAAAUAGACUCCUCCGCUCCUUGCCCUUGUCUGAGGAGACCACUUCCUGUCGAAUUGCUCUUUCUCCUGUUUCCCUUGGCUUGCAUAUCCCAAGGCCAUGAGGAAUUGACCACCUCCCCUAGCUCUGCAGUUCUGCUUCCAGAUCACCAUAGACGUGCUCACAUAAAUGUAACCUAGGGGCUGCAAUGUGUCUGCAAGUUGAGCCCUUUACCUCCAUGGUUCUCUGUCUCCACUCUACUUUAGCCACCAAAUGCAGCUGCUCCACCUUGGAUCUCAUUAUCCCUUGGAAAUAUUCCACCUGUGAGAGGGUCCAAAUGCCUCUCUGACCAUAAUCCAGUCUUUCCUAGACCUUCCAGCUCUCUCAUUAAACAUUCAACAAAAAUUUAAUUAGCAUGUACUACACGUAGUAGGAUGUCACUGGGAUACAGUGAUGAACCAAAUAGACGUGGUCUCCUCAUCUAGAGCCUACAUCUCCUGCAGGAGAACAACAAUCAAAUAAUGACUUAAUUAACUGUUAAUUAAUCUGAAGCAAAUGCUGUGAAGGAAAGCACCACUGCUCAUCCUAUCCUGACCACUAAUCCUUGUCUCCUCCACAUCCUCUAGGCACAGUGAGCCCCUUCUUAUCAUCCUUUCUUUUUCCUUCCAGCCCAGACUCUAAAGUACAUAAUUUCAACCACUCUUACCAGCUCUCUCAAUGUCCUAGCCCUUUUUCUUUGGCAGACCAACAAACACAGAGUAAAUUCAGCUUUACAUCUUCCUUCCUUUAAACCAGGGUCCGGAGUAAGGCUGAUAAAUCACAAAUCAGCAUGACUCGGUGCCUUUAAGACAUCCAACCCCAACUGCACCCUCAAGACUGCUCAGUAGUGCUCAUGCACAUGUUCCUUAUCUCCACAGUUGGUAUUUCAGCCUCAACACAGCCUCCGCAUGCUCUUACACCCUUUCCCCUGGACAUGUCUUGGUGUCUUACUCCACAAAGAAAACAUGAACAUGAACUCUCACACCCUUCUGCUCUCUACCCACCCACAUGCAUACAUUAUAUUCAUUCUUAUCUCCUUCUCCCCAUCUCUCUUAAUAGGGAGUCCCUCCUUCUCUCAGAGGCUAACUUUUCCCCUCCUUUCUGGUCUUCCUGUUAUUUUUAGCCCCUUCUCAAUCUCUUGCAUGGAUUUUUCUUUUCACCUCUGUCUAUCCUUUGAAUAUAAAUGUCCCAAGUUAUUUCCCCUGCGACCUAGGUACUUUUCUUACUCUUCCUAGUCAGCUUGAGUGAUUUCCAUCACAACCAGGUCUUCAUUUGUUACCUAUGUGCUCAUUAUGCUAAAAUCUCUCUCUCUUUCUUUCUCGAGAAACCUUUCUCCUGACCACCAGAUGUAUUCCUCCGCCUGGAUGUCCUUAGGCAGAUCAGUCACACUCAUCUCUUCAGGACUGGACCCACCGUCUUCCUCAACAUGCGUAAAUAUGCUCCAGUGUUCCCAUGCUGGAAUUGCAACACUGCAUGCAGCUGCCCAAACGGCAGUAAGAGCCUUGGUGCAGGGGCUUUCUUUUCCCUGCUUCCCAAGCACUGUUGAUUAUUUUUCUUAAAUAUAUUCACCCCUGCCCUCUAACGAACCCCCAACCCCCAGUCCUACUCCAAUAAGGCAAUGGCCUUAUUUCAAGCCUUCCUACCUUCUUUCUCUCUCCCUCUACACCAGCCUCCAAAACAGGUCCAGAAAGAUCUUUCUGUCCGCAAAUCAGAUAAUGUUGCUUUCAUCACCAGAAUUUGCCACUGGCUCCCCACUGGCUCUAGGACAUAGCCUUAAGUCCUUCCACGGUGCCCAGGGCCUUCCUAGAGGUCCCUGCUGGGCUGCUCUUAAUGUCUCUAGCUGUGCUCCAGCAACACUGACCUGGUCAUCACGCUCUCUGCUGAGGACAUCCCUCCUCUCUCUGUCCCUCUAGCAAAUGCUUUCUCUUCCAUAAAGACUCAGCUCAGAUGUGCCCUCUGAGAGGCCCCGAGGAGAUGCUUGGCAUGCCUCUCCCACUGCCCUUCAGUCAUACCUUCAAUAUAGUGAUUAUCUUGUGGUGUUCAUUGUUUGUUUGCAAGUCUAACAGUAAACUCCUUCAGAGCAGAUUACCACCUCUGUUCCCAUUUAUAUCCCAAGUGUCUGAUGCAGUGCCUGGUACCUAGCUAAUGCUCAGGAGAUAUUGGCUGGGAUUAUCUUGAUCCUCAAAACCCUUGGUUGCUGUUCCCUUUUUAUCUGUUGCAGAUACAGCUUCCAUGUCAGGGUCGCAGAGGGGCUGUCCCAUGUCACAGAUCUCUGUCUCCCCCUUCUCUUUUCUCUUCUAUCACUUAGGUUUCUUUCCUCCAAUCUCCUCUUUGAGAGAAAACUCUCGUCUCUCAUGCCAUAUCUUGAAUUUUUCUUUGUUCUGUAUCCUCUUGAGACCCAGCCUGUCCUGUGAAAAUGGACUCAGACCCUCUGGCCAGGCCCCAGCUCUUGUGGCAGGUCAGAAGUGGAACCUGGCACCAUCAUUAUGCACAUUUCCUGGCCUGGCUUUGCCAUCCUUGCUGGCUUCAUCUCAGCUAAUGGGCUUUUGUUUGUUGAUGCCAACUCUUGUGCUAUUUCCUUUUCUAGUCUUGGUUUCAAGUUCCUUCUUCAGACAUUUAGUUACCAGGAAGAAAAGGAGGGAGGGACAUAUUUCUGUGAAGAACUAAAUUAUUAUAAAAUCGUGGUGUCCUUCCUGUCAGUGGUGUGGCACCCACAGGAAGGCAGAUGAGGUGUUCCUCUGGCUCAUUCCUGCUUCCACCCUCACACCCUGACCUUCUCUUGAGAGGUCAGUUUCCUCCUACAUGCCCUCCUGCCCAAGUUUUCACCAGCCUCUUGCUUUUUACCUCCCUCAGUUGGUGGCAAAUUUUCCAGUCCCCAAAUUGGAAAGCUUGACAAAGGCGAUUUUCUUAUUUGUGAGUUUAUUUGCUUGAUAAGCCUUAGGAAACCUUACAGCUGUAUUGCAUUUGAGUACCUCUGUACCAAUUUUAUUGAAAAAGAAUAAAAUUACAUUAAUUGGAAUUUUUUUCUAGAAAGUAUGAUUGUGAGAUUGCCGAGGCAAGGCAAGCUAUUGCAGAAAAGUAAGAAGACUAGAAAAGGGAGGAAUGACAUACUCUAUCUUAGCUAGGUUUUCAGGAAGAGAUUUUACAAAGCUUGAUUCAACCAAAACUACUUUUGUAUUAGUCAAGCAUGUUGGUAUGUACAAUUCAUUAUUUAAAGAUAUUUUUCAAAUAAAUUAGAAAAAGAAAAGUGACAAGGGACAUGAGAGAGAAUUGCCUAAAUUGACUGUCAUUAACCAUAAAUAUCUGGAAAAUGAGGGCAGAAGCAGUGUUAUGGGUUGACUCAUGUGCUCCAAAAGGAUGUGUUGAAAUCCUAACCCCCAGUCCUAACGUUAUUUGGAAAUAGAGUCAUUGCAAGUGUAAUUAGUUAAGGUGAGGUCAUACAGGUGGGCCCUUAAUCCAGUGUGACUGUUGUCCUUGUAAGAAAGUGAUGUGAAGACACAGAGAGGAUGACAUGUGACAGCGUGUUGGAGGCGGAGAUUGGAGCCAUGCAGCUGCAAGCCAGCAACACCAAGACCUGCUAGCAACACCAGAAGCUGAGAGAAGGGCAUGGAACAGAGGCAGCAUGGUCCUGCUGACCCCUUGAUUCUGGACUUCUGCCCUCCAGAACUAGGAGAGAAUAAAUUUCUGUUGUCCU